CCCCCUCAGGUCCUCUAGCAGGUUAUUCCAGAUGCUGGGGUAUAGUUACUACAGGCUGCCUCUUGGUCCCCCUCAGGUUCUCUAGCAGGUUAUUCCAGAGGCUGGGGUAUAGUUACUACAGGCUGCCUCUUGGUCCCCCUCAGGUCCUCUAGCAGGUUAUUCCAGAUGCUGGGGUAUAGUUACUACAGGCUGCCUCUUGGUCCCCCUCAGGUUCUCUAGCAGGUUAUUCCAGAGGCUGGGGUAUAGUUACUACAGGCUGCCUCUUGGUCCCCCUCAGGUUCUCUAGCAGGUUAUUCCAGAGGCUGG
ensembl:lncRNA